rnacentral:rRNA from 1 species
AUGGGGUGACUGCGUACCUUUUGUAUAAUGGGUCAGCGACUUAUAUUCUGUAGCAAGGUUAACCGUAUAGGGGAGCCGUAGGGAAACCGAGUCUUAACUGGGCGAAUGAGUUGCAGGGUAUAGACCCGAAACCCGGUGAUCUAUCCAUGGGCAGGUUGAAGGUUGGGUAACACUAACUGGAGGACCGAACCGACUAAUGUUGAAAAAUUAGCGGAUGACUUGUGGAUGGGGGUGAAAGGCCAAUCAAACCGGGAGAUAGCUGGUUCUCCCCGAAAGCUAUUUAGGUAGCGCCUCGUGAACUCAUCUUCGGGGGUAGAGCACUGUUUCGACUAGGGGGUCAUCCCGACUUACCAACUCGAUGCAAACUGCGAAUACCGAAGAAUGUUAUCACGGGAGACACACGGCGGGUGCUAACGUCCGUCGUGAAGAGGGAAACAACCCAGACCGCCAGCUAAGGUCCCAAAGUCAUGGUUAAGUGGGAAACGAAGUGGGAAGGCUCAGACAGCCAGGAUGUUGGCUUAGAAGCAGCCAUCAUUUAAAGAAAGCGUAAUAGCUCACUGGUCGAGUCGGCCCGCGCGGAAGAUGUAACGGGGCUAAACCAUGCACCGAAGCUGCGGCAGCGACACUAUGUGUUGUUGGGUAGGGGAGCGUUCUGUAAGCCUGCGAAGGUGUACUGUGAGGUAUGCUGGAGGUAUCAGAAGUGCGAAUGCUGACAUAAGUAACGAUAAUGCGGGUGAAAAACCCGCACGCCGGAAGACCAAGGGUUCCUGUCCAACGUUAAUCGGGGCAGGGUGAGUCGACCCCUAAGGCGAGGCUGAAAAGCGUAGUCGAUGGGAAACGGGUUAAUAUUCCCGUACUGGUGGUAACUGCGAUGGGGGAACGGAGAAGGCUAGGUUGUCCGGGCGACGGUCGUCCCGGUUCAAGCAUGUAGGCAGAGUGAUUAGGCAAAUCCGGUCACUUAAUGCUGAGGUGUGAUGACGAGCCACUAAGGUGGUGAAGCAAUUGAUGCCCUGCUUCCAGGAAAAGCCUCUAAGCUUCAGGUUACCAACAAUCGUACCCCAAACCGACACAGGUGGUCAGGUAGAGAAUACUCAGGCGCUUGAGAGAACUCGGGUGAAGGAACUAGGCAAAAUGGUGCCGUAACUUCGGGAGAAGGCACGCUGGCGGUAAGUGAAGUCCCUUGCGGACGGAGCCGAAGCCAGUCGAAGAUACCAGCUGGCUGCAACUGUUUAUUAAAAACACAGCACUGUGCAAACACGAAAGUGGACGUAUACGGUGUGACGCCUGCCCGGUGCUGGAAGGUUAAUUGAUGGGGUUAUCCUUAGGGAGAAGCUCUUGAUCGAAGCCCCAGUAAACGGCGGCCGUAACUAUAACGGUCCUAAGGUAGCGAAAUUCCUUGUCGGGUAAGUUCCGACCUGCACGAAUGGCGUAAUGAUGGCCAGGCUGUCUCCACCCGAGACUCAGUGAAAUUGAACUCGCUGUGAAGAUGCAGUGUACCCGCGGCAAGACGGAAAGACCCCGUGAACCUUUACUAUAGCUUGACACUGAACAUUGAGCCUUGAUGUGUAGGAUAGGUGGGAGACUAAGAAGUGUGGACGCCAGUCUGCAUGGAGUCAACCUUGAAAUACCACCCUUUAACGUUUGAUGUUCUAACCUAGGCCCGUAAUCCGGGUCGGGGACCGUGUCUGGUGGGUAGUUUGACUGGGGCGGUCUCCUCCUAAAGAGUAACGGAGGAGCACGAAGGUUGGCUAAGCAUGGUCGGACAUCAUGCGGUUAGUGCAAAGGCAUAAGCCAGCUUGACUGUGAGAGUGACGGCUCGAGCAGGUACGAAAGUAGGUCUUAGUGAUCCGGUGGUUCUGAAUGGAAGGGCCAUCGCUCAACGGAUAAAAGGUACUCCGGGGAUAACAGGCUGAUACCGCCCAAGAGUUCAUAUCGACGGCGGUGUUUGGCACCUCGAUGUCGGCUCAUCACAUCCUGGGGCUGAAGUAGGUCCCAAGGGUAUGGCUGUUCGCCAUUUAAAGUGGUACGCGAGCUGGGUUUAGAACGUCGUGAGACAGUUCGGUCCCUAUCUGCCGUGGGCGUUGGAAGAUUGAGAGGGGUUGCUCCUAGUACGAGAGGACCGGAGUGAACGCACCACUGGUGUUCGGGUUGUCAUGCCAAUGGCAUUGCCCGGUAGCUAAGUGCGGAAGAGAUAACCGCUGAAAGCAUCUAAGCGGGAAACUUGCCUCGAGAUGAGUCUUCCCUGUCACCUAGAGUGACCUAAAGGAACGUUUAAGACUAAGACGUUGAUAGGCUGGGUGUGUAAGCGUAGCGAUACGUUGAGCUAACCAGUACUAAUGAACCGUGAGGCUUAACCUG